rnacentral:ncRNA from 2 species
ACGCGCAGCGCGGGAGAGCCACCGGACGAGGAUCGUCCGGCCCGGCACCGUAGGAGCAAGCAUCCCCGCCAAUCUCUCAGGUCCCACACCGCGACCUGCGC